AGGCAGCCUCCUUGACACGAUUAAAUGACAAGAGGGGCGUUAAACUGCUCGUAAAUUAAAUCCUUUUGCUCUUCAGACUUGCUGAGAUUUUCUCUGAAGCUGGUCUAGUAAGCUCAAGUAUAUU